rnacentral:rRNA from 1 species
AAUGAACGUUGGCGGCAUGGAUUAGGCAUGCAAGUCGAGCGAGAAGGGUUUUGAAGCUUGCUUUAGAACCCGGACAGCGGCGAAAGGGAGAGUAACGCGUAGUUAUGUGCCCUAGGGUCCGGAAUAGCCACGGGAAACUGUGGGUAAUGCCGGAUAACAUCCCCGGAUCAAAGGUGUGAUUCCGCCCUAGGAGCAGACUGCGUCCUACUAGCUAGUUGGUGGGGGAAUGGCCCACCAAGGCAAUGAUGGGUAGCGGGUGUGAGAGCAUGACCCGUCUCACUGGGACUGAGACACUGCCCAGACACCUACGGGUGGCUGCAGUCGAGAAUCUUCGGCAAUGGGCGAAAGCCUGACCGAGCGAUGCCGCGUGCGGGAUGAAGGCCCUCGGGUUGUAAACCGCUGUCGUAGGGGAGGAAGGUUCCGUGAAGAGCGGAAUUUGACCUAUCCUAGGAGGAAGUACGGGCCAAGUUCGUGCCAGCCGCCGCAGUAACAC